rnacentral:lncRNA from 1 species
UUAUUUUUGUGUGAUUUUGUUGUCAGCACAUUCAACUAUGUAAAGAAAAAAGUCUUUAAUAAGAUGAUAUCAUUCAUUCAGAUCUAGGAUGUGUUGUUUAAGUGUUCCCUCUAUUUUUUUGAGCAGUAUAUAUAUAAAGACAAUAUUAAAUCAAGAACAGUCUGAUGGGUGACAAUAUUAGCCUAUCACUUGUGAACAAUAUAUUAUCAAUUGUGAAUAAUAUAUUAUCAAUUGUGAAUGAUAUAUUAUCAAUUGUGAAUGAUGCCCAGCUUGUGUGCAGUAAGGCAAGAAACAGCGCAUGCCUUUUUAUUUGCGACUUUUUAAAAUCAUAGUCGCACACCUCAUGUAGCCUAGCCCAUAGGUUGAUAUGUUUUGAUAAGGUUAGUAUCACACCUCAUGUAGCCUAGCCCAUAGGUUGAUAUGUUUUGAUAAGGUUAGUAUCACACCUCAUGUAGCCUAGCCCAUAGGUUGAUAUGUUUUGAUAAGGUUAGUAUCACAACGGUGUAGAGUCUAAAUGGCAUACAUACACAGUGUGUGAGUUUCAAGUUUGGGGAAGAUCAUUUUCACCUUAAAAAUUCACCUUAAUAAUAAAAAGCAUUACAUGCAUAAUUACAAUUGCGAUCACUUUUGAGAAUGGUGUUUUCCUGCCAAUUGAUUGCAUUUUGGAACGUUUGCGCUUAUAACCUAUUGCCGUGUGCGCAUUGCCUCGUUUAUAAUGUGAAGAAAUAGCCUAAUAGUUUAUCAACAUUUUAAGCUAAAUGUUCUGAUCUGUUGCGUCAACCUCAUGGCUUAAAACAGUUUUGUUGUUGCUCGUGGUUGUAUUAAUUAGGGAUCUAACACAUCCCACAACUUGUCCCAGGCUAUGUUUAGAAUAUGUAUUUCUCACACAGAAUAGAAUAGGUCAACAGUUUUACCAUGGGGAUAGUAGAUUGACAUAGGCAGCCUAAUAACAAAACAGAGCUCAUGCCUUUCAUCAAAUCAUCGUUUAAAGUCCCAUCACGCGACCUUAGAAUGUAUUAAAAAGAUUGAAACAUACAGCCCAACAUCUGUAUCACAACUAAAGUUGCAUAAAUAACUCUAAAUAAAGCAUAUAGGAGAAUCCCUCAAAUCCUUUGGAGAAAUGAUCCUUUCUAUUUUAUUCAGCUGUGUUCAAUUCUGUUCUUCAUACUAUAAAACAAUUUAAAAUACCACCACGGAAUUGUAGGCUAAAAUGUGUCUGCUAAAUGAACUAGUGUAGUCCAUAGCCAGAUCAGGGCCUAACAUGAUAACUCAGAGUAUGCUAUUCUGUUCUUCUGAAAUAAACUACGUUUUCUUCAUAUCAUGUUUCUUUAGACCUGUUUAAAAUAAAUCAUGGAUUUAUUGUGAAGGUAUAGACUAUAUUACAUGGAUUUAUUGUGAAGGUGUAGACUAUAUUACAUGGAUUUAUUGUGAUGGUGUAGGUAGACUAUAUUACAUGGAUUUAUUGUGAUGGUAUAGACUAUAUUACAUGGAUUUAUUGUGAUGGUGUAGACUAUAUUACAUGGAUUUAUUGUGAUGGUGUAGACUAUAUUACAUGGAUUUAUUGUGAAGGUGUAGACUAUAUUACAUGUAUUUAUUGUGAUGGUGUAGACUAUAUUACAUGGAUGUAUUGUGAUGGUGUAGACUAUAUUACAUGGAUUUAUAGUGAUGGUGUAGACUAUAUUACAUGGAUUUAUUGUGAUGGUGUAGACUAUAUUACAUGGAUUUAUUGUGAUGGUGUAGACUAUAUUACAUGGAUUUAUUGUGAUGGUGUAGACUAUAUUACAUGGAUUUAUUGUGAUGGUGUAGGUAGACUAUAUUACAUGGAUUUAUUGUGAUGGUGUAGACUAUAUUACAUGGAUUUAUUAGAUUUUUUAAAAUGUAGAUGUUCUGAAGGUCUGCAUCAGUGGUUUGUAGGCUACGUGUGGAAGCCAGGAGAAGCUAAAUGUGUUUAUGUUCAUUAACGGUCGAUUACUGUGAGAACGGUGGUUAUUUGCUUGACAUCACCGGCAGACUAAACGUCAUGGCCGCCACAGCCCCGCUCCAGGAAUUUGCUAAAUUCAAUUCACCUUGUCUCCCAUGUACAGUACAUGUUCAGAAGACAAGGGGUAGAUGAAACGUAAUGGAUUCUAAUCCAGAUGGCCUUAACUGGGUUCAAACUCUAUUGUUGCCCCGUGUUUCUGGAUGACACCAGUUAAACACAGCACAUUUCAUUCAACCACUUUGUCUUUAGAGAGAGACGGAGCAGGGGGGGGAUGUUGGGGUGACAAUGGGCUGUCCGACACUCACAACGGAGAGCGUGUCAGCCAGGAUAUCUUUCUGCCUGAGCUCCUUUCUGAGUUUAACUGCAUUGGAUUUUUGUUUGGCGGCGGAGUGUAUAUCAAGCCACCCCCCUUUGUGCGGCCACCGGUAAUGGUAAUGAAAGCAUGGCUAAAAUAUCUAAGUGGUCGUACUUCGUUAAGGAAGCGGCGGGAGCGGUGGUGGGAGCGGUGAAGGGGAGGGGCUGUAGGAGGCUGUAGGAUCGUGCUUGGGGUGAGAAUCAGUCUGCAUAAGGUAAGCGCAGAGAGGGAGAGAGGGAGAGGGGAUAGAAAGAGAGAGGGAGGGAGAGAGAGGGGAGAGGGAAGGAGAGAGGGAGAUAGAGAGAAUGGGCCUGCUGCAGAGAGGGAGAGAGAGAGGGGGGAUAGAAAGAGAGAGGGAGGGAGAGAGAGAGGGAGAGGGAAGGAGAGAGGGAGAUAGAGAGAAUGGGCCUGCUGCAGUUUGGCAGCCAGUUGUAAUGCAUCUCUAUGACAUCAUUCUCUGACAAAGUGUGAGGACGUCAUCAAAUUAAAGGCAUUUGUUUUAUGUAGAGUUACAGAUGUCUGAUGCUAUAUUGAAAUUCCAGUACUCCUUCACCUCCACAUUCACUGGUUCUAGCUAAAUUGGAAAAAAAAUGAUAUCACUGUCUGUCUGUCUUGUCUUGUCU